CGACGUGCCUAAGAAAUGCAAGUCGAGCGAGGCCAUGGAGCUUGCUCCGGAAGCCUAGCGGCGAACGGUCGCGUAACACGUAAGCAACCUGCCCCAAAGUUUGGGAUAGCCCUCCGAAAGGGGGAUUAAUACCGGAUGUGGAUGUCGAUAUGCAUGUAUUGACAUCUAAAGCAUUUAUGCGCUUUGGGAUGGGCUUGCGGCCUAUCAGCUAGUUGGUGAGGUAACGGCUCACCAAGGCGACGACGGGUAGCUGGUCUGAGAGGAUGGUCAGCCGGACUGGGACUGAGACACGGCCCAGACUCCUACGGGGGGCAGCAAUUAGGAAUCUUGCGCAAUGGGCGAAAGCCUGACGCAGCGACGUCGCGUGAACGAUGAAGUCUUUCGGGAUGUAAAGUUCUUUUCUGAGGGAAGAAGGAUGUGACGGUACCUCAGGAAUAAGCCCCGGCUAACUACGUGCCAGCAGCCGCGGUAAUACGUAGGGGGCGAGCGUUGUCCGAAUUUACUGGGCGUAAAGCGCGCGUAGGCGGACUCUUAAGUUGGUGGUGAAAUGCCGAGGCUCAACCUCGGAACUGCCUUCAAAACUGGGAGUCUAGAGGCUUGGAGAGGGAAGUGGAAUUCCUGGUGUAGCGGUGAAAUGCGUAGAUAUCAGGAGGAACACCGAUGGCGAAGGCAGCUUCCUGGCCAUGUCCUGACGCUGAGGUGCGAAAGCUAGGGUAGCGAACGGGAUUAGAUA
rnacentral:rRNA from 1 species